rnacentral:lncRNA from 1 species
ACAGAACAUCCUGAAACACAUACUGGUGAGCUUGCUCACAGAAGCGGAGGGGCCGAGAUAAUGGAACAUUCCUGCAAGAGGGAAGAGCUAGCAGAACACUCUUGAAAAGUUGCACAGUUCAAACAGUUACAAGACAUUUUGAUACAUUGGGUGGGAGUACUGCAGCACUAACUAUUACAUUUCUGGAACAAAACAUUUUGUGGGAAAAAAUGUGAACAUAAGGCAAGGGCAAGUACGGGCCGGUCUUACUGUGUAUUAUUGCUCUUUCAACAGCAUUUGCCACAUACAGCAUCAGGGGAUGAGACGGUGUCAGAGGCCUCCAUGGUCCAGAUGAGGGACUAUCAGUGCCAAACUGAUCGCAUCCCUCCGCCCUGUCCUCCACACAACUGGCAUGUGAGGGGAAUUCCCAGGCUCUGCGGGCUCAGUCCUUUUUUGGAAAAGAAAAAAGCCCUUUGUGACCCUUUUGUAGACAGCCCUCUCCUCCCCAGUCUUCCUCCGUCGCUCCGCUCCCUAGGGAAUGACCUGCAGAGAGGGAAACCAGCUGGCACGCGCUGGCUGGCAGACAGCAGAGACUGUCUCGAGUGGGAGGCGGAAGCCAGGGCUGGGACUGCUCUGCUGUCAAGGACGUGGUCUCUCUCGGAGAAAGCUGAAGAGGCAGCUGCAGGCACUGCAGCAUCUUACUUGCUCGGUGUCCUCCUGGUCUGGCCCACAGAAACUGACGGCCUGAACAGGUCAGAAAACUAA